GACGAACCGUGCAAACGUUAUUCGGAAUCACUGGGCAUAAAGGGCGCGUAGGCGGCUUCAUAAGUCAGGGGUGAAAUCCGGCAGCUCAACUGUCGCAGUGCCUUUGAUACUGUGGAGCUCGAGGGAGGUAGGGGUCUGUGGAACUUCCGGUGGAGCGGUGAAAUGCGUUGAUAUCGGAAGGAACGCCGGUGGCGAAAGCGACGGACUGGAUCUCUUCUGACGCUGAGGCGCGAAAGCCAGGGGAGCAAACGGG
rnacentral:rRNA from 1 species